rnacentral:rRNA from 1 species
AUGGAGCAGUUGAAGAUCUGGCCAUCAGUCCCUGUUUACAAAGCCCACUCGGUCGACGGUACCAGGCGUGACGGCGGAGGGAUUUUCAGGUGCCGGGGCAGCAUGGUGGCCAGCUGCAGCGCUCGAUGGCGGUGGAUAUGGGUGCCCCCUGCCCAAAUUCGUCCUGAUGUGGGUGGUGUGGUUGCCCGUGUUGUCGACGGCGGUCUUGGGCGCUGUUUGGCUGUGCGUCCGGGGUGGUUCUCCCCUCCGGUGAUGAUUGAGGUGGUCGUUUCCACCGCUGGCGCGGCGGGUCUGGAUGUGGCCAGAUCCGUGUCCGGCGUUGUCGGGGUCGGCUUUGUUCCGGCUACUGGCACGGCGGGUCUGGAUGUGGCCAGAUCUGUGGUCGGCGUUGUCAGGGGCGGCUUUGUUCCGGCUGCUGGUGCGCGCGGAUGGUGGGACUUUGGUGGGCUCUAUCUUGCUGUGACUCUCGGAUCCCAGGAUGGCGGUCCACCAAGACGGUCCGGCGUGGAUGUCUGGCUGCGGCCGUCGUUGGUGGAGGAGAGGCCGGCGGGGUCCGGUGUCAUCUUGUUUGUCGAUGAUGGGUGUAUCUUGUCCUUCAUGAAGUGUGACGACACCCGCAGGUGCCGUGUCCUCCUUGGAGGUGCUUUCAUGGCCAUUGUUGUGUCUCUCCUAGAGCGCAGCGGAAACCCUUGUUCCAGUUCAUUGGAACAGGCAGCGGUGGCAUCACGAUGGCCACGGCGCUUCCUUGGCGAUUCACGCAGUCCUCAGAAUUGGAGCUUGGGGCAAUUCGGUUUGGUUGUGGUCGCCGCUAAGGUCAUGGGCCAUUGGGGCACAAUGUAUGCCAUGGCCAAUGCUUCCGGCAUGUGUUCUUCCUUUGGAUCGGCUAAGUCCUCCCACCCACUUGCCAACUUCUCUAGGCACUAUAGGUGGGGCGCUAGAGAUCGGGCACGUGUUUUGAUCCGGGGCUUCGAGACCUUUUACUCUAAAAGAGAACUUGUAGAUAACCCGCGCCAGCUUUUAUCCAGCGGUGCGUCCCACAAGCAGGCAAACAGCGCGAAUGGGCGGGACGCGUGCUCUCCCCCUGGCCCGCCCGCCAGGGACACAAUGUUCCCAUUUCUCCCUUCUCCCCCAAAACCCCCCAGCCCUCCUGGUCCUACCAUGGGCACCACCCCGAAGCGCGCCGCCGCUGCCUUACUGACCGCCACCAAUGACCUUCCCGUGGCCUUGAAGAUGAAACCCAAGAAGGUGCUCUCACGGGAGCAGCCCGCCCGAGAAAUGUCAGAGGAAAGGCCGGAGGACCACUGUCGCCAAGCUCCUCCACAACCACUGACGGGUGGGCUUCAUCCACCGUACGAGCAUGCUGACCCGCUUCUCCACGCCGCCGGACGGCCACGCGAUUGCGCAGGCCACCGCCUCCCCCACAGCCAGCAUCGACCUCUAAGUCACGCCUGGGUCCGGAGAUUGUGCGCCAGCGAAGGUCGGACCGAUUUGACACAAAAGAUGACUAGAGCACCGAAUUUUCCUGAUAGCUCCAGGAAAUUGCUGCCAGAUAAAAAGGCUAAAGAGAUUUGCUCAAAGUCCCGCGGACGGCACCCGCGGCGGUAUUCUUCUUCUGUGGGACGAAGACAAGGUCGAAUGAUCCAACACCAGAUGGGCAAAUUUUGUUUACCGGCAGAGGUUCUCAUCUUAGCGUCCAAUGAGAGUUUCAAGAUUACGACGGUAUACGGACAAACAACUUCAAACCGGAAAGAGGACUUUCACACCGAGCUCCUAGUACAUAAGCCACCCCCGGUGAUCGCUGGCUUUGGGACACCUCCUUCCACGUUCAUAUACUGCAUGCGCAUCAUUGUCAGAUCACUGCCCGCUGUUACUUUCACAGGUUUUAAGCACGUUGUACAAGAGGCUUGGGCAACACCAUCUGAACAUGCCGAAUCUUGGCACAUUCUGUUCCAUAAACUACGAAAAACUGCCUACAUGCUCAAGUUGGAGCAAGCCACGAAAAAGCAAUGUGCAAGGGUAAAGAACCUGAAAGAAGGGGACGCUAAUACCAAGUAUUUUCAUCUAAGGGUCAAUGCGAGAAGAAGGAAGAACAUCAUCCACAGGCUCAGAGUGGGUCCAAGUUGGGUAACCUCCCAUGAGGAAAAGGAAAAGGUUGCACCGGAUCACUUCUCCGCGAUUCUCCAAAAAGGGCCACCUCAAGCCUGA